rnacentral:rRNA from 1 species
AGAUUGAACGCUGGCGGCAUGCCUUACACAUGCAAGUCGAACGGCAGCACGGGAGCAAUCCUGGUGGCGAGUGGCGAACGGGUGAGUAAUACAUCGGAACGUGCCCAAUCGUGGGGGAUAACGCAGCGAAAGCUGUGCUAAUACCGCAUAAGAUCUACGGAUGAAAGCAGGGGAUCGCAAGACCUUGCGCGAAUGGAGCGGCCGAUGGCAGAUUAGGUAGUUGGUGAGGUAAAGGCUCACAAGCCUUCGAUCUGUAGCUGGACUGAGAGGACGACCAGCCACACUGGACUGAGACACGGCCCAGACUCCUACGGGAGGCAGCAGUGGGAAUUUUGGACAAUGGGCGAAAGCCUGAUCAGCCAUGCCGCGUGCAGGAGUGAAGGCCGUUCGGUUGUAAACGUUGUACUUUGUAACGGAACGAAAGUACU